UAUUUGUUUGCAGCACUAUGGAGCCUGUUUCAGCUCUUAGUGGGUUUAGGUGCCAGAAAACUCAGCCGCCACCAAAGUUGCCCUGAGCCCGCGGCUUAUGAUCAUGAAGGAUGAACAAGAACAAGCAAGGGCAAGCAAGGUUUAUUGAACAAUACAAAAACAGCUUCCUGCUGCAGGGAAAAGGCUCAGCGGGGGUCGCUAAACAGAACUGGAGAUCCAAGACUCUCGUCUGUGUUUGGAGAGAUGGUCAUGGUGCCUCCUCACAGCAAUGGAGCAUUGACUAAGACAUGCCUCCCACCCUGCACAAAUUUGAAAAUAUUUACACACAGCCUGCAUCCCUAAGCAUCACGCAUUUAAUCAAGACCACCCACAGCCUGGAGUUCAAGAAGUCCCCAGCUGAGUGAUUUCCUCACCAACAAAGUAAACAGAGAAGACACCAGCUUGGGAGUGGAGAUGAAGGGGUGGGGGAAGCUAGGUGUGGCUUCACUGUCAGCCCCUCCUCUGAGACCUGGGGAGCAAUGAGGGGGCUGCUGGCCAGUGGGCUCCCCCAGAACCUAGAUCCCCAUCCCCCACAACUCCAGCUAAGCCCAGAGAUGAUUGGUUAGGUCUAAGAUAAAUAAUGCUUAUUAAGCUCAA